rnacentral:rRNA from 1 species
AACAAACGCUGGCGGCGUGUCUUAAGCAUGCAAGUUGAGCGGCAAGGAGGAGAGAUCCUCCCUAGAGCGGCGGACUGGUGAGUAACGCGUGGGUAAUCUAUCGUAGGCAUGGGGAUAGUCACUAGAAAUAGUGGGUAAUACCGAAUACGUUCCAUGAGGGAGUAUUCAUGGAAGAAAGGGUGCUACGGCACUGGCCUUAGGUGAGCUCGCGUCCCAUUAGCUAGUUGGUGAGGUAAAGGCCCACCAAGGCGAUGGUGGGUAGCCGGCCUGAGAGGGUGUACGGCCACACUGGGACUGAGAUACGGCCCAGACUCCUACGGGAGGCAGCAGUCGAGAAUAGUCUACAAUGGCCGGAAGGCUGAUAGUGCGACGCCGCGUGAACGAGGGAGCCCUUCGGGGUGUAAAGUUCUUUUCUAUACGAGCAGUGCUAUAUAUAUGGAUAGUAUAUAUAGAGGGAUAGUAGUAUAGGAAUAAGCAACGGCUAACUCCGUG